rnacentral:rRNA from 1 species
UUUAUGGAGAGUUUGAUCCUGGCUCAGGACGAACGCUGGCGGCGUGCCUAAUACAUGCAAGUCGAGCGGACUUAAAAGGAGCUUGCUCCUUUUAAGUUAGCGGCGGACGGGUGAGUAACACGUGGGCAACCUGCCCUAUAGUUUGGGAUAACUCCGGGAAACCGGGGCUAAUACCGAAUAAUACAUUUUAACUCCUGUUAGAAUGUUGAAAGAUGGUUUACGCUAUCGCUAUAGGAUGGGCCCGCGGCGCAUUAGCUAGUAGGUGAGGUAACGGCUCACCUAGGCGACGAUGCGUAGCCGACCUGAGAGGGUGAUCGGCCACACUGGGACUGAGACACGGCCCAGACUCCUACGGGAGGCAGCAGUAGGGAAUCUUCCACAAUGGACGAAAGUCUGAUGGAGCAACGCCGCGUGAGUGAAGAAGGUUUUCGGAUCGUAAAACUCUGUUGUAAGGGAAGAACAAGUGCAGUAGUAACUGGCUGCACCUUGACGGUACCUUAUUAGAAAGCCACGGCUAACUACGUGCCAGCAGCCGCGGUAAUACGUAGGUGGCAAGCGUUGUCCGGAUUUAUUGGGCGUAAAGCGCGCGCAGGCGGUUUCUUAAGUCUGAUGUGAAAGCCCUCGGCUUAACCGAGGAGGGUCAUUGGAAACUGGGAGACUUGAGUGCAGAAGAGGAAAGUGGAAUUCCAAGUGUAGCGGUGAAAUGCGUAGAGAUUUGGAGGAACACCAGUGG